rnacentral:rRNA from 1 species
CCUACGGGAGGCUGCAGUGAGGAAUAUUGGUCAAUGGGCGGAAGCCUGAACCAGCCAAGUAGCGUGCAGGAUGACGGCCCUACGGGUUGUAAACUGCUUUUAUACGGGAAUAACGCGCCUUACGUGUAGGGCUUUGCAUGUACCGUAUGAAUAAGGACCGGCUAAUUCCGUGCCAGCAGCCGCGGUAAUCCGGAAGGUCCGGGCAUUAUCCGGAUUUAUUGGGUUUAAAGGGAGAGUAGGACGGAUGUCAAGCGUGCUGUGAAAUGUCCGGGCUCAACCCGGGCCUUGCAGCGCGACCUGGCGUGCGUGAGUCCGCGGAAGGCAGGCGGAAUUCGUGGUGUAGCGGUGAAAUGCUUAGAUAUGACGAAGAACCCCGAUUGCGAAGGCAGCUUGCUGCAGCGGAACUGACGCUGAUGCUCGAAAGCGCGGGUAUCGAACAGGAUUAGAUACCCUUGUAGUC